AAGUAAUUCAUCUUUGUAAUGAGCAUACAAGCCUUCAUGAGUAUUCGUAACUGUAAAUAAAUAAAUAAACGUAUGCAACCUAGCUUGCUCCAAACAAAGUAGAGUUUGCUUGUACAUGAAUAGUUCUUGCCCCGGCAAGAAAAGUGACACAAGUUAAAAAUCAGCAAUUUUGAGUUUACGUCAAUAAAAGAUUUGUAUGUAGUGCCUCAUCAAGCUCAAAAGCCCCAAGAAGCUCUCUAACACGCAAUUUAUUCAGCUGAGGACAGUUGUGUCAGUUUUUUGUCUAAUUCCGAAUAAGUUCAAUUUCUCUCUUCAUAUACAACUAGGGUUCGGUUUUAAUUGAAAUAUAUUAGUUUAGUGACAGAAAUUUCCACACCAGCUUCCAAUGACGUACCUUAACAAAUUACCUAAGAGCCACUAAUACCAAAACUGAUGUAUAAUGAAAUCAAGUGUAUCAGUCGAUCCAUGAUAAAACAAUCAGUUUGAAAUUUGAGAACCAGAGUUCCAGAGAGAGGAUUGAUUAUCUUAAAGACUUUACAGAUAUGCCGCCACUGUAUGUAUCCACUGCUUUGCUUUAAUCCUAUCCCAAGGAAAGAUUCUCUAAUUUGAUUUGAACCUGUCUCGUUUGUUUAAAUAAUGAAUUCACUAGCUGCGUGCUGCUGGCUUUUCUGUCAACAUCUAAACCUGAUGGUAUUGCAUACAUUAACAGGGUAUUAGAGCUUAUGUUUGAAAACAGUCAUUUUAGUUAAUUAAAAUUUAAGCAUAAAAAUGCUUUUAACCCUUGUUUAACCUGUUAUAUUUAAUUGUUUUGCUUAAAAAAACAGUGCAAUUUUAUACGAUUAAAGUAUAAAUUUGGCUUUAAAUUGAACUUUAUAACUAUUGAGCAGAAAUUAAUUCUGUGACAGUGCUUCAUAAUAUAUAUUAAAUACUCUAAGCUGUCUUAAUUUUUUAUUUAAUUAAAUAACUGCAUAAAUAAUAAUAAUAAAUUCCAAAUAACAAUUUCGUAAAACUUCAAUUUUUUUAAAUAAGAAAGAGCAAAAGUAAUUUUUUAAAUAAAAGAGAACAAAAGUGAAUUUUCAAGAAGAAAAAACUGAAUGUGUAGAUGUUUCAAAUUAAAUUUCUACUAGAACUCAAAUUUGAUUUGAACCUGACUCAUUUGUAUAAAUAAUGAUUUCUUUGAUUGUAUGUUGCUAACUUUUCAAUUAAUUUCUGGACUGGUGAAUUUGCAUGAAUUUCUUCUUUACAUGAGGGUGUUGGAAUUGCAUGGAUUAAUAAGUUAUUAGAGAUUAGGUUAGAAAACUGUUAUUGUAGUAAAUUAAACUUUUACCAUGUGUUUAUUAAUAAAAUAUGAAAUUUUUUCAAGUUGCUUAUAUAUUGUUUAGAUAUUUUGUUAAAAACAAACAGAAUUUUAUGCUAUUAAAAUUUAAAUUUGAUUUUUAUUUGAACUUUCCAGCUAAUUCUCUGAUAGUAUUAUUCAAUUUUAUAGAAAACAGCAAGUUACAUUACAAAUCUAAUUAUUACGCCUACUUAUUUGUUUGUUUAUAUAUCAAAACAGAAUUCUACCAGAAUUCUUCAAAACAGAAUUCUACCAUUUCUUGAAAAUGUUUCUACAUGCAACAAAAUAUUCAAUUGUGUCGAAAAUGGGCUAAAUAAAGCUUGUCAAACAUAACACCCUCCUUGAAAAUAAAAGUAAAUAUUGACGAAUGA